GAUGAACGCUGGCGGCGUGCCUAAUACAUGCAAGUCGAGCGAACAGACGAGGAGCUUGCGCCUUUGACGUUGGCGGCGGACGGGUGAGUAACACGUAGGUAACCUACCUAUAAGACUGGGAUAACUUCGGGAAACCGGAGCUAAUACCGGAUAAUAUUUCGAACCGCAGGGUUCGAUAGUGAAAGAUGGCUUUGCUAUCACUUAUAGAUGGACCCGCGCCGUAUUAGCUAGUUGGUAAGGUAACGGCUUACCAAGGCAACGAUACGUAGCCGACCUGAGAGGGUGAUCGGCCACACUGGAACUGAGACACGGUCCAGACUCCUACGGGAGGCAGCAGUAGGGAAUCUUCCGCAAUGGGCGAAAGCCUGACGGAGCAACGCCGCGUGAGUGAUGAAGGUCUUCGGAUCGUAAAACUCUGUUAUUAGGGAAGAACAAACGUGUAAUUAACUGUGCACGUCUUGACGGUACCUAAUCAGAAAGCCCCGGCUAACUACGUG
rnacentral:rRNA from 1 species